rnacentral:rRNA from 1 species
GAUGAACGCUGGCGGCGUGCCUAAUACAUGCAAGUCGAGCGAACAGAUGAGGAGCUUGCUCCUUUGACGUUAGCGGCGGACGGGUGAGUAACACGUGGGUAACCUACCUAUAAGACUGGAAUAACUCCGGGAAACCGGGGCUAAUGCCGGAUAACAUUUAGAACCGCAUGGUUCUAAAGUGAAAGAUGGUUUUGCUAUCACUUAUAGAUGGACCCGCGCCGUAUUAGCUAGUUGGUAAGGUAACGGCUUACCAAGGCAACGAUACGUAGCCGACCUGAGAGGGUGAUCGGCCACACUGGAACUGAGACACGGUCCAGACUCCUACGGGAGGCAGCAGUAGGGAAUCUUCCGCAAUGGGCGAAAGCCUGACGGAGCAACGCCGCGUGAGUGAUGAAGGUCUUCGGAUCGUAAAACUCUGUUAUUAGGGAAGAACAAAUGUGUAAGUAACUGUGCACGUCUUGACGGUACCUAAUCAGAAAGCCACGGCUAACUACGUG